AGAGUUUGAUCCUGGCUCAGAUUGAACGCUGCGGCAUGCUUUACACAUGCAAGUCGAACGGCAGCACGGGCUUCGGUCUGGUGGCGAGUGGCGAACGGGUGAGUAAUAUAUCGGAACGUACCCAAGAGUGGGGGAUAACGUAGCGAAAGUUACGCUAAUACCGCAUACGAUCUAAGGAUGAAAGCAGGGGACCGCAAGGCCUUGUGCUCCUGGAGCGGCCGAUAUCUGAUUAGCUAGUUGGUGAGGUAAAGGCUCACCAAGGCGACGAUCAGUAGCUGGUCUGAGAGGACGACCAGCCACACUGGAACUGAGACACGGUCCAGACUCCUACGGGAGGCAGCAGUGGGGAAUUUUGGACAAUGGGCGCAAGCCUGAUCCAGCAAUGCCGCGUGAGUGAAGAAGGCCUUCGGGUUGUAAAGCUCUUUUGUCAGGGAAGAAACGGCAGUGGCUAAUAUCCAUUGCUAAUGACGGUACCUGAAGAAUAAGCACCGGCUAACUACGUGCCAGCAGCCGCGGUAAUACGUAGGGUGCAAGCGUUAAUCGGAAUUACUGGGCGUAAAGCGUGCGCAGGCGGUUUUGUAAGUCUGUCGUGAAAGCCCCGGGCUCAACCUGGGAAUUGCGAUGGAGACUGCAAGGCUUGAAUCUGGCAGAGGGGGGUAGAAUUCCACGUGUAGCAGUGAAAUGCGUAGAGAUGUGGAGGAACACCGAUGGCGAAGGCAGCCCCCUGGGUCAAGAUUGACGCUCAUGCACGAAAGCGUGGGGAGCAAACAGGAUUAGAUACCCUGGUAGUCCACGCCCUAAACGAUGUCUACUAGUUGUCGGGUUUUAAUUAACUUGGUAACGCAGCUAACGCGUGAAGUAGACCGCCUGGGGAGUACGGUCGCACGUUUAGAACUUAAAGGAAUUGACGG
rnacentral:rRNA from 1 species